rnacentral:lncRNA from 1 species
UAAUCGGUUCUUUAACCUUCUUAAGGAGUCAACAGGAAUUAGAAAUUAUUUGCAGUUUCAGACAGAAUAGUAUUUUGUGGUAUCCUCAGGAGCAAUCUUGUUAGAUAAUUAAAUCUUAAGCAUCAAUAUCAUUUCCUAAAUUAUGUACUCUAAAAAUUAAAGCAUUUUAAGAACAUAAUACAUAUAUUUUCAUUUAAUUUUAGGCAAAAUAUUUUUACAUCACACCUGGAAUCUGCCCAAGUCUUUCCACUAUGAAGGCAAUCGUAGAGUGUGCAGGAGGAAAGGUGUUAUCCAAGCAGCCAUCUUUCCGGAAGCUCAUGGAGCACAAGCAGAACUCGGUGGGUAGAGUGGAGUCCGCCAGCGAGUCCGUCAUUGCCCUAUAUCACAUUCAGUGUUCGGUCACUGAGAAACUCAUUUUCUUUUCCUUAGAGUUUGUCGGAAAUAAUUUUAAUAUCCUGUGAAAAUGACCUUCAUUUAUGCCGAGAAUAUUUUGCCAGAGGCAUAGGUACGUUUCCCCGCUUACCUGUGUGAGUAUGUGUGCACGCAUAGCAGUGGAUCUCUAACAAGUGUCUGUUUCCACCCUGUUCAGAUGUUCACAAUGCAGAGUUCGUUCUGACUGGAGUGCUCACUCAAACGCUGGACUAUGAAUCAUAUCCUUUUCAAAAGAGAAUAAAAAGUAGAUGGGUUAGAUAUGAAAUGGAUUUCCCAGGUUAAUAAGGCAGUACCUUUCCUGUUUUGCAAGCCAUUUUUCCUUUCUUUGCUAUUGUGAUUUAUGCAGUGAACAAUUCUUUUCUCUUCAGAAUAUUCAUUUGAGUUGCUAGUAAAAAUAUUCUCUUAACUUACUGAGAGUUCAGUUUUAAUAGGUGAUGUUAAUUAGAAAGGAUCUAUACUGUCUAGUUUAUGGAGGUAUUAAAGA